UACAGAGGUCCCAAGCGUUGUUCGGAUUCACUGGGCGUAAAGGGUGCGUAGGUGGCCAGGUAAGUUCGGUGUGAAAGCUCGGAGCUUAACUCCGAAAUGGCAUUGAAUACUAUCUGGCUAGAGGGUCGGAGGGGAGACUGGAAUUCUCGGUGUAGCAGUGAAAUGCGUAGAUAUCGAGAGGAACACCAGUGGCGAAAGCGGCUCACUGGAUCGAAUCUGACGCUGAGGUGCGAAAGCUAGGGUAGCAAACGGG
rnacentral:rRNA from 1 species